rnacentral:rRNA from 1 species
AAACCGGAUUAGAUACCCGGGUAGUCCUAGCUGUAAACAUUGCCCAUUUGAUGUUGCUUUUCCGUUGAGGGAAGGCAGUGUCGGAGCGAAGGUGUUAAAUGGGCCGCUUGGGAAGUAUGGUCGCAAGACUGAAACUUAAAGGAAUUGGCGGGGGAGCACCGCAACGGGAGGAAUGUGCGGUUUAAUUGGAUUCAACGCCGGAAAACUCACCGGGAACGACCUGUGCAUGAGAGUCAACCUGACAAGCUUACUCGAUAGCAGGAGAGGUGGUGCAUGGCCGUCGUCAGCUCGUACCGUAGGGCGUUCACUUAAGUGUGAUAACGAGCGAGACCCACAUCUUUAAUUGCAAAUGUAUAUGAGAAUAUGCAUGCACUUUAGAGAAACCGCCAGCGCUAAGCUGGAGGAAGGAGUGGUCGACGGCAGGUCAGUACGCCCCGAAUUUCCCGGGCUACACGCGCAUUACAAAGAACGGGACAAUACGUUGCAACCUCGAAAGAGGAAGCUAAUCGCGAAACCCGUCCAUAGUUAGGAUUGAGGGCUGUAACUCGCCCUCAUGAUCUGGAUUCCGUAGUAAUCGCGGGUCAACAACCCGCG